CUCCCAUUCUUCAUUCUACUCACCACUUAGUUACUAGAAUGUUUUUCUCAACUAUGAAUCUGACUUCACUCCCUUUCUUGAAAACCUCCUGUAGUUCCUGUUGUGUACGGGAUAAAGACUGUGAGCUCCUGGAGUUCAGGGACCAUUUCUUAAUCAUCUUCCAGAACCUAUCACAAUGAAUGACACAAAGAAUAUAUUUGAUAAAAAUCUGAUGAAUGAACCACUCUAAAUGCAACUCUAAUAAAGAAAAUUACUGCCUA